AUUGAACGCUGGCGGCAUGCUUUACACAUGCAAGUCGAACGGUAACAGGCCGCAAGGUGCUGACGAGUGGCGAACGGGUGAGUAAUGCAUCGGAACGUGCCCAGUCGUGGGGGAUAACUGCUCGAAAGAGCAGCUAAUACCGCAUACGAUCUAUGGAUGAAAGCGGGGGACCGUAAGGCCUCGCGCGAUUGGAGCGGCCGAUGUCAGAUUAGGUAGUUGGUGGGGUAAAGGCUCACCAAGCCAACGAUCUGUAGCUGGUCUGAUAGGACGACCGGCCACACGGGGACUGAGACACGGCCCAGACUGCUACGGGAGGCAACAGUGGUGAAUUUUGGACAAUGGGCGCAAGCCUGAUCCAGCCAUUCCGCGUGCGGGAUGAAGGCCCUCGGGUUGUAAACUGCUUUUGUACGGAACGAAAAGGCUCUGGUUAAUACCCGGGGCUCAUGACGGUACCGUAAGAAUAAGCACCGGCUAACUACGUGCCAGCCGCCGCCGUAAGAC
rnacentral:rRNA from 1 species